CUCUUCACUACAAUUCAUACAACAAACUUACACAUUAUUUUUUCUAAUUAAAUCCAUCAUCAUGAAUACCAAACUCAUUCUAGCCCUCUUGUUUUGCUUCCUCCUCAUUGCAUCCAAUGAGAUGCAAGUUGGAGAGGCAAAAGUAUGCCAAAGGCGUAGCCAGACAUGGUCAGGGAUGUGUAUUAACACAGGCAAUUGUAGCCGUCAAUGCAAGCAACAAGAGGAUGCUCGUUUUGGAGCUUGUCACCAAAAUGGCAUUGGAUUUGCUUGCUUCUGCUAUUUCACCUGUAAAUGAUUUCUAAGAGUGUUUUACUAUCAAAUAUGUGGUAGUGUUGUGUGUUGUUUGAAUAAGGAUGUCCAAUUUACUAAAAUUGGUUGUACCCCUAGUUAUGUUAGCGCCUUCAAUUUACGUGUAUUUGUAUUGUAUUGUUUUAAUAAAUAUAAUGUUUGGAUA